CGUGGGUGUCGGUAAACUAUGGUCCCCUCGGGUUUUAAUAUUCAGAGAAAGUGAUGUGGUGAUAAGAAUAUGAAAUGAACCAGGGGUCAACAAGCUCAAACAAUAGAAAGUAGCCGAGUGUAGGAGGGCAGCUUGGUGCGGUGACGAAGGUUUUUGGCUGGAUAUUUCAAUCUUCUCCAAUCCAUGGUUUCCAUGUCGCUGUUAACAUCGUGAUCACUCACCCUCUUUUCUCGCCAUCACCAUCAAUUCUCUUAAAGAAUUAUCUUUUCUUUUAAUUAUUGAUGGCUUCCCCCAGCCAUUAACUCCGGCUGGCCAUCAGCAGCCCCACCGUUCCUCGGCCAAAGGUAUAUGCCAGAUGCUUGGCAAGGGAAAUACCAGAAGAGCACAGAAACUUUAUGAUUAUUAUUAUUUUUAAAAACAACCAAAACACAGCUAAUGGAUAACUACUGUCAAGUUAAGGGGGCAAAAACAACUAAUAGAGUUUCACAUCACCUGUGUAACUCUUCUGUGUGGAAUCUGGG
rnacentral:lncRNA from 1 species